rnacentral:rRNA from 1 species
AUGAACGCUAGCUACAGGCUUAACACAUGCAAGUCGAGGGGCAGCAUGGUCUUAGCUUGCUAAGGCCGAUGGCGACCGGCGCACGGGUGAGUAACACGUAUCCAACCUGCCGUCUACUCUUGGACAGCCUUCUGAAAGGAAGAUUAAUACAAGAUGGCAUCAUGAGUCCGCAUGUUCACAUGAUUAAAGGUAUUCCGGUAGACGAUGGGGAUGCGUUCCAUUAGAUAGUAGGCGGGGUAACGGCCCACCUAGUCUUCGAUGGAUAGGGGUUCUGAGAGGAAGGUCCCCCACAUUGGAACUGAGACACGGUCCAAACUCCUACGGGAGGCAGCAGUGAGGAAUAUUGGUCAAUGGGCGAGAGCCUGAACCAGCCAAGUAGCGUGAAGGAUGACUGCCCUAUGGGUUGUAAACUUCUUUUAUAAAGGAAUAAAGUCGGGUAUGGAUACCCGUUUGCAUGUACUUUAUGAAUAAGGAUCGGCUAACUCCGUGCCAGCAGCCGCGGUAAUACGGAGGAUCCGAGCGUUAUCCGGAUUUAUUGGGUUUAAAGGGAGCGUAGAUGGAUGUUUAAGUCAGUUGUGAAAGUUUGCGGCUCAACCGUAAAAUUGCAGUUGAUACUGGAUAUCUUGAGUGCAGUUGAGGCAGGCGGAAUUCGUGGUGUAGCGGUGAAAUGCUUAGAUAUCACGAAGAACUCCGAUUGCGAAGGCAGCCUGCUAAGCUGCAACUGACAUUGAGGCUCGAAAGUGUGGGUAUCAAACAGGAUUAGAUACCCUGGUAGUCCACACGGUAAACGAUGAAUACUCGCUGUUUGCGAUAUACAGCAAGCGGCCAAGCGAAAGCGUUAAGUAUUCCACCUGGGGAGUACGCCGGCAACGGUGAAACUCAAAGGAAUUGACGGGGGCCCGCACAAGCGGAGGAACAUGUGGUUUAAUUCGAUGAUACGCGAGGAACCUUACCCGGGCUUAAAUUGCAGAUGAAUUACGGUGAAAGCCGUAAGCCGCAAGGCAUCUGUGAAGGUGCUGCAUGGUUGUCGUCAGCUCGUGCCGUGAGGUGUCGGCUUAAGUGCCAUAACGAGCGCAACCCUUGUUGUCAGUUACUAACAGGUUCCGCUGAGGACUCUGACAAGACUGCCAUCGUAAGAUGUGAGGAAGGUGGGGAUGACGUCAAAUCAGCACGGCCCUUACGUCCGGGGCUACACACGUGUUACAAUGGGGGGUACAGAGGGCCGCUACCACGCGAGUGGAUGCCAAUCCCAAAAACCUCUCUCAGUUCGGACUGGAGUCUGCAACCCGACUCCACGAAGCUGGAUUCGCUAGUAAUCGCGCAUCAGCCACGGCGCGGUGAAUACGUUCCCGGGCCUUGUACACACCGCCCGUCAAGCCAUGGGAGUCGGGGGUACCUGAAGUGCGUAACCGCGAGGAGCGCCCUAGGGUAAAACUGGUGACUGGGGCU